rnacentral:rRNA from 1 species
UGAGGAAUAUUGGUCAAUGGGCGAGAGCCUGAACCAGCCAAGUAGCGUGCAGGAAGACGGCCCUAUGGGUUGUAAACUGCUUUUAUAAGGGAAUAAAGUGGGUCACGUGUGACUUUUUGCAUGUACCUUAUGAAUAAGGACCGGCUAAUUCCGUGCCAGCAGCCGCGGUAAUACGGAAGGUCCGGGCGUUAUCCGGAUUUAUUGGGUUUAAAGGGAGCGUAGGCCGGAGAUUAAGCGUGUUGUGAAAUGUAGAGGCUCAACCUCUACACUGCAGCGCGAACUGGUCUUCUUGAGUACGCACAACGUGGGCGGAAUUCGUGGUGUAGCGGUGAAAUGCUUAGAUAUCACGAAGAACUCCGAUUGCGAAGGCAGCUCACGGGAGCGCAACUGACG